GAAUUAUGCGCCUUUGAAGUUGGAGGUGAGAGAGUGAGAGACGGCAGAGAAAGCGACUGUCUCUUUCUCUGCCGUCUCUCACUCUCUCUCACCUCCAACUUUGAAGGCGCAUAACUU
rnacentral:sRNA from 13 species